UACGCCAAUAUCACGAUGAAACAUCGAUUCCCGUACAAUCACCGAAGUUAAGCAACGUCGAUCCUGGCCAGUACCUACAUGGAUGACCGCUUCGGAAUACCAGGCGCUGUAG